rnacentral:rRNA from 1 species
UACGUAGGGGGCUAGCGUUGUCCGGAAUCAUUGGGCGUAAAGCGCGUGUAGGCGGUCCGGUAAGUCCGCUGUGAAAGUCGGGGGCUCAACCCUCGAAUGCCGGUGGAUACUGUCGGGCUAGAGUGCGGAAGAGGCGAGUGGAAUUCCUGGUGUAGCGGUGAAAUGCGCAGAUAUCGGGAGGAACACCAGUAGCGAAGGCGGCUCGCUGGGCCAUUCCUGACGCUGAGACGCGAAAGCUAGGGGAGCGAACAGG